AAUAUAUGAGCAUGAAUGGCUAAACUGAUUUUUGGUGUUAGAAUUAUUUGUACUGUGUAUUCAGCCUUGAGAGGCUAGGUUGUGAUAAAUUGCCAUGUCAUGCAGAAAAAGAUUUUAUAAAUCAGGUGGUAGAUAAAAUAAUCCAUAGUCACUGCAGUGGUGGGGGUUUUCGUGGACUGCCUAUGAGAGGGACACAGUAACCCAAUUAU
rnacentral:lncRNA from 1 species